UACGUAGGGUGCAAGCGUUGUCCGGAAUUAUUGGGCGUAAAGAGCUCGUAGGCGGUCUGUCGCGUCUGCUGUGAAAACUCGGGGCUUAACCCCGGCCUGCAGUGGGUACGGGCAGACUAGAGUGCGGUAGGGGAGACUGGAAUUCCUGGUGUAGCGGUGAAAUGCGCAGAUAUCAGGAGGAACACCGGUGGCGAAGGCGGGUCUCUGGGCCGUAACUGACGCUGAGGAGCGAAAGCAUGGGGAGCGAGCAGG
rnacentral:rRNA from 1 species